rnacentral:miRNA from 1 species
GUGCAUUUAUUCUUUGUGUUGAGAUUUACUUUUGUUGUUCAAAUAAAGAUUUGAACAACAAAAGUAAAUCUCAACACAGAAGAAAUGCACAAAACUUGC